GCCCCUACCCUCACCUUAUUUAAGGAACCAGCCCGCUCUGCUCGGCACCUGGUUCUAGUUUUCGAUCUCCGGUGGUUCUGCGGGAGCCUCGAGAAAGACUUGUCUGAAAUUCUCGUCUCACCUCUUGUCAGUUUCUAUUGCCUGAAAAGCCCAAGGACCCAGAUCACAGGCUCUAGGACAAUCAAGCUUCAGUAGUUGCAGCACUAUGGGGUCUGUAAUCAUGGCUCAGGAGCUCAGUUGUUCUGUGGCACGUGGAAUCCUCUGGACCAGGGACUGACUGCAUGUCCCUGGUGUUAGCAGGGGACUCCCAUCUACUGAACCACCAGGGAAGUCCUUGCUGCUGCUGCUAAGUCACUUCAGUCGUGUCCGACUCUGCGUGACCCCAUAGAUGUCAGCCCACCAGGCUCUCCUGCCCCUGGGAUUCUCCAGGCAAGAACACUGGAGUGGGUUGCCAUUUCCUUCUCCAAUGCAUGAAAGUGAAGUUGCUCAGUCGAGUCCAACUCUUAGCGACCUCAUGGACUGCAGCCCACCAGGCUCCUCCAUCCAUGGGAUUUUCCAGUACAACAUGGUCUGAAUUACUAUGCAUUCGUGCGUGCAAAGUUGCUUCAGUCCUGUCUGACUCUUUGCCCCAUGGACUAUAGCCUGCCAGGCUCCUCUGUCCAUGGGAUUCUCCAGGCAAGAACACAAGAGUGGGUUGUCAUGCCCUCCUCCAGGGGAUCUUCCCAACCAAGGGAUCAAACCUGAGCUUCUUAUGUCU
ensembl:lncRNA